rnacentral:rRNA from 1 species
AAGCUCGUAGUUGAAUUUCGGGAUUGGGAUAUAUUGGUCAUGCCUUUAGGGGCAUGAAUCGGUGUAUGGCUAAUUCUCACCUUCUGGUGAAUUGGAAUGCUCUUGGGUGUUUCAAUGAACUAGGACCUUUACUUUGAAAAAAUUAGAGUGUUUAAAGCGGGCAUUUUUGCUUGAAUACAUUAGCAUGGAAUAAUAAAAUAGGACGAUGGUUCUAUUUUGUUGGUUUUAGGACUACGUAAUGAUUAAUAGGGAUAGUUGGG